rnacentral:rRNA from 1 species
GAUUGAUGGUGCUUGCACCUGAUUGAUUUUGGUCGCCAACGAGUGGCGGACGGGUGAGUAACACGUAGGUAACCUGCCCAGAAGCGGGGGACAACAUUUGGAAACAGAUGCUAAUACCGCAUAACAACGUUGUUCGCAUGAACAACGCUUAAAAGAUGGCUUCUCGCUAUCACUUCUGGAUGGACCUGCGGUGCAUUAGCUUGUUGGUGGGGUAACGGCCUACCAAGGCGAUGAUGCAUAGCCGAGUUGAGAGACUGAUCGGCCACAAUGGGACUGAGACACGGCCCAUACUCCUACGGGAGGCAGCAGUAGGGAAUCUUCCACAAUGGGCGCAAGCCUGAUGGAGCAACACCGCGUGAGUGAAGAAGGGUUUCGGCUCGUAAAGCUCUGUUGUUAAAGAAGAACACGUAUGAGAGUAACUGUUCAUACGUUGACGGUAUUUAACCAGAAAGUCACGGCUAACUACGUGCCAGCAGCCGCGGUAAUACGUAGGUGGCAAGCGUUAUCCGGAUUUAUUGGGCGUAAAGAGAGUGCAGGCGGUUUUCUAAGUCUGAUGUGAAAGCCUUCGGCUUAACCGGAGAAGUGCAUCGGAAACUGGAUAACUUGAGUGCAGAAGAGGGUAGUGGAACUCCAUGUGUAGCGGUGGAAUGCGUAGAUAUAUGGAAGAACACCAGUGGCGAAGGCGGCUACCUGGUCUGCAACUGACGCUGAGACUCGAAAGCAUGGGUAGCGAACAGGAUUAGAUACCCUGGUAGUCCAUGCCGUAAACGAUGAGUGCUAGGUGUUGGAGGGUUUCCGCCCUUCAGUGCCGGAGCUAACGCAUUAAGCACUCCGCCUGGGGAGUACGACCGCAA